rnacentral:lncRNA from 1 species
AUGACACAUUGUUAGUUCCUGAAAACACAGCCUUGAUCCUCACAAAACUUACAUUUUAAUUUCCAAUGCUUCACAUGACACGUAACAUCAUUAUUGGUCAUUUGGAAUACCACAGUAAUUUAGAAAAACAGAAUAGUGCUUACAACAUGCACAGUGUUCUCAGCAAUACAAGUGCCGAAUAAGAAAAUCCUUCCACCUCUGCCAGAUAGGCACAGUUUUACAUGCUUUUUUUGAAAUAUGUAAAAAUUACAAAACAAACCUCAUCAGUAUAAUAUAAUUAAAAGGCCAAUUUUUUUCUGGCAACUGUAAAUGGAAAAAUAUACGGACUAAACAUAGCCCUGUGCUGUAUCAUGGCCACAGUAUAUUGUAACCUUUGUCUAAUCAUUGGAUUUAUUGUGUUGCACAUAGAUAUGGUAGUCUGCUCUGUAUAUUUUUCCCUUUUUAUAAUGUGCUUUUCACACUGCUGCAAACCUUAGUUACAGCCUAGGAAAAAGAAUACUUCCUGAAAUAAAACUAAGGUGUCAUCCUUACCCUUCUUUGUCUCACCCAGAAAUAUGGUGGGGGGAAUUACCUGCACUAACCCCUCUCUCAAUAAAGAUAUUACUGUACUCUGGAAUUUAGGCAAAACCUUAAAUCUCCAGGCUUUUUAAAGCACAACAUAUAAAUAAAAGCUGGGAAAGUAAACCAGAAUUCUUUAGAUUGUUCCUCAUGAAUAUCCCCCUUCCUCUGCAAUUCCCCAAAGUGGUAAUAGAUGGGUAGAGGCAGGUCAGGUAAAUGACUUAGCUUGCCUCUCAAUUCAUUCCUGCUCUUCCUCUCAAAGGCUGAAGGAAGGGCCUUUCCAGUCCUCAGGACCUGCCCUUCACCUAGUCCCUCCUGACCCAGGGAUGGAGGCCACCACACCCAUAGUGUGGUGAUACAGAGCACUAGUUGUCACUGCCUGGCUUUAUUUAAAGGAAAUGCAGUAGGUUUCCUCUGUAGAGCUCUGGAAAGGCUAACUAUAUAGAAGUCUUGUAUGUUUUUACUUGCUCAAGUAUUUCUCACAUCUUUUGUUACCAGAGUACCAUUCCAAUCUCUUAACUUGCAGUUGUGUGGAAAACUGUUUUGUAAUGAAAGAUCUUCAUUGGGGGAUUGAGCAGCAUUUAAUAAAGUCUAUGUUUGUAUUUUGCAAAAAAAAAAAAAAAAAAAAAUUCUUAACUUAUUUUCUUUGAUUUUGCUCUUGCCUUCAUUGGGAAAUAGAAACAAAAUAUCCUCCCAACUCAAAAAACCUCUCCACAAUUGCAGAAGAGAAAGUAACAGUCUGGUUAUUAAAUAAGCAUUUAACG